UACGGGGGGGGCAAGCGUUGUCCGGAUUCAUUGGGCGUAAAGAGCUCGUAGGCGGCUUGGCAAGUCGGGUGUGAAACCUCCAGGCUCAACCUGGAGACGCCACCCGAUACUGCCAUGGCUAGAGUCCGGUAGGGGACCACGGAAUUCCUGGUGUAGCGGUGAAAUGCGCAGAUAUCUGGAGGAACACCGGUGGCGAAGGCGGCAUCCUGGACCGGCAUUGACGCUGAGGAGCGAAAGCCAGGGGAGCAAACGGG
rnacentral:rRNA from 1 species